CACACCCCUCUCUAGUGACUUCUCUGCUCCCAGAGUCCCUGGGGCUUGCACAGUUUUGCUGCAACUAAGUGAACUCCACACAUGUUGGUUUGUGUCAUUUACAUUCACACAUCUAUCUAUUUUUAGGGUAAAAGCUUCUUUGUGACAAGACUUAGACUUCCUCUGGAGACUAUAUGCUAUUCUUCAAGCAGCAGGCAAUUCAAGAAGGAAGGCAGGAAGGAAGGCCUGGAAGGGCAGAGUCCAGAAGGCAAGCCUGUCUCAUGAGCAGCGGUGGCACUGUGGGGAGCUUGGAUGUCUAAGAAGUUGUACAAGAAUGAAACUAGCUUCCACCUCACCCAGUGGCAGCAGCUACCUCAAGAAGGAAAUACAAAAUAGCAAGCAACUCAAGCCAGGAUUCUCCUCAAUUAUCCUUUGCCCCAAACUGAAAAGGAUUAAUACAUAAUGAGCUUGGUUAGUGCA